GACGAACGCUGGCGGCGUGCUUAACACAUGCAAGUCGAACGGAAAGGCCCUGCUUUUGUGGGGUGCUCGAGUGGCGAACGGGUGAGUAACACGUGAGUAACCUGCCCUUGACUUUGGGAUAACUUCAGGAAACUGGGGCUAAUACCGGAUAGGAGCUCCUGCUGCAUGGUGGGGGUUGGAAAGUUUCGGCGGUUGGGGAUGGACUCGCGGCUUAUCAGCUUGUUGGUGGGGUAGUGGCUUACCAAGGCUUUGACGGGUAGCCGGCCUGAGAGGGUGACCGGCCACAUUGGGACUGAGAUACGGCCCAGACUCCUACGGGAGGCAGCAGUGGCGAAUAUUGCCCAAUGGGCGGAAGCCUGAUGCAGCAACGCCGCGUGCGGGAUGACGGCCUUCGGGUUGUAAACCGCUUUCGCCUGUGACGAAGCGUGAGUGACGGUAAUGGGUAAAGAAGCACCGGCUAACUACGUG
rnacentral:rRNA from 1 species